CUGGUGGUCUAAAAAACCCAAAAGAAAUUCUCGAGUGGGUGAUCUCGCUCUAUACGAUCUUUGCUGUAGCUAUCUGUCUAGCAUGCUAGCCACUAGCUAGCUAAGUGUAGCAGGUAUGUUUGCCUGUUGCUAGUGGUAAAAUACUUUGGUGAGCGUUUGUAAAACCUUUAAAAAUAAGGCAGGCGUUUAAGUCAUUUUAAAAGGCUUGUUUCUGAAUUCUGACCGAGCUGAAGGGCAUUAAAGAGCGUCUUGGAAGAUCCUAAAGAGGAGGAGGAGAGAUGAUGUGGAUCAAGUUUUAAGAUCUGUUCGAAAAUCUUCAUUUAAUCUUCAUGUUUCAAAUGCAGACAUUUCAUGCACAUGUAAAUAUAUAACCUAAGCAAAGAUAUAUGUAUUGUAUAAUUGUAAAGAAUAACUAGUUCCAAUGUACCUCAUAAUGUGCAAUACAGCUUUCAUGUGCUAUUGAUGAAAAAUUUACUUAUUCACAUUUUUAAAAUAUUUAUUUUAUUAUUUUUUUAUAUGUUUUUUAUACUUUGCUGCUGUAACACUGUACAUUUUCACUGU